rnacentral:rRNA from 1 species
GACGAACGCUGGCGGCGUGCUUAACACAUGCAAGUCGAACGGUGAAAGCGGAGCUUGCUCCGCUGGAUCAGUGGCGAACGGGUGAGUAACACGUGGGCAACCUGCCCCUCACUUCGGGAUAACUCCGGGAAACCGGGGCUAAUACCGGAUAUGACCUCCUUGGGCAUCCUUGGAGGUGGAAAGUUUUUCGGUGAGGGAUGGGCCCGCGGCCUAUCAGCUUGUUGGUGAGGUAGUGGCUCACCAAGGCGACGACGGGUAGCCGGCCUGGGGGGGCGACCGACCACACCAGGACUGGGACACGGCCCGGACUCCUGCGGGAGGCAGCAGUGGGGAAUAUUGCACAAGGGGGGAAAGCCUGACGCAGCAACGCCGCGUGCGGGAUGACGGCCUUCGGGUUGUAAACCGCUUUCAGCAGGGAAGAAGCCGCAAGGUGACGGUACCUGCAGAAGAAGCACCGGCUAACUACGUGCCAGCAGCCGCCGUAA